CCUGAUUUUCCUCUCUCCACACAGAGAGCCAUAAUCCCCCCCAAAUCUUUCCUUGUGCCAGAACAAGGACACUAACUCUUUGUUUUCAAUCUGCUCUACAGGACUCUCUCUCAAAUUGCAAUUCCUGUUGCUUUCUUGUGUUCUGAGUACUGUUCUUGCUUUUGGAAACUUGGGUAACAGUACUGAAAGCUCCGGUUCUGACAGUAUGGAGGACCAACCACAAGUGCCCCUUGAAGAGAUUGGUCGCAUCCUUAGAUGCCUGUACCACAGGCAGAUGUGCUGGUUAAUCAAGUCCAAGUCUCAGAUAAUUGGAAAACUAUGAACAUCUCCUGCAGAACACUGUUGCUUCUAGAUAAUCUUCCUUCCCACCUUUUGUCUCACUAGUGCACUGGAAACUGAGGAUAACAAGCAAGUCCCGUUCCACAUGCCCACCUCUGAAGCCAGUGUCAGUUACAGUGCACAGCUCUCUCAAACCUUGUCUGAUUACUUGUUAAGCUUGAAUAAAUGCUGAGCAUUUAAUUUCUUAGCUGUCUUCAUCUUUUCUUAAGAAAAAAUAUACCCCAAAAUAGGAUUAUUUCAGUGAUCCUGUUUCCAAAGACCAGGAGUAGAAAGGGAAAGGAAUUCCUGAAGCUGGCAACAUCUUUUGUCCAUUCCAAGUUUCAUUGGUUCUCUCAGGUCUUGAUCUGGCCCUACUAUAUAUUACCCAGUCUCCAUACUAUGCUGAAGACAGAUUAAUCAAAAUAAUUUCUGCCUAAGCCACCACUAGAUCUUACAUACAAUUUGAAGAAAGUUUGUGUAAACCAAGUCUAUGGAAGCUUCUACUGCAACAGAAAGCAUUUAUGCUGUUUUAUUAAUACCACAGAAUAAAUCAAAUGUGGAGGAAGAGGUGAAUUGGAUUGGAAGGAAAAGUUAGUAACUCUUAGCAUUACCUUUUGUUUUGAAAGGAACAUACUAGUAAAUUUACAAGACUCUCAGGGUUCCCUUUAUAAAUGCACAUAUCUUCCCCAGAUUCAGCUAACUGGGACACAGGGGUGGUGUUGAAAAGGAGCAAGCCCUAAAAUCAUUCAUUAGUUAAGCAGGAUGUGGCCAACAGUCUCAAUAAUGCAUGAGCAUGUCACAGUCCUGUCACACAAGGUAAUUCCAGACCAUGACAUUUAUCACCACCCUGCUUCAACACACGGCUCAAAAUUCAUUAAGAUCCCUUUCCAAGUCUCAGCCACAACUUUCAGCUGUUACUGUCACCAACUCUUGACAUUACUACACAAUUAACAGCAAUUACACCUUGAUUAAAAACACAGGGAGAAAUGUCAGCAGCUGUUGUGCAGCUCUUGUUAGCAGCAUGAAUGCACAGAAGGUCCACAUCAGCCUCCUGACUGCAAAUUAUGCACAUUACCUAAACUGCAAAAAAAAAAAAAACCCAACCCAUAAUUUACAAGGUAAUACUUUAAUGCUGCUCUUUCCAGUGAUCCUGUUUAUGGCACGGUCUCCCCAACAGCUGUACUGCCAUAAGCAGUGGGAAGAAAGGAACCUCAAAAUCCAGCUCCCAAAAUCAGUC